UACGAAGGGGGCGAGCGUUAUUCGGAAUCACUGGGCGUAAAGCGUGCGUAGGCUGUUUGGUAAGUUGGGAGUGAAAGCCCAGGGCUCAACCUUGGAAUUGCUUUCAAGACUGCCAGACUCGAAUCCGGGAGAGGAUAGCGGAAUUUCCAGUGUAGUAGUGAAAUACGUAGAUAUUGGAAGGAACACCAGUGGCGUAAGCGGCUAUCUGGACCGGCAUUGACGCUGAGGCACGAAAGCGUGGGGAUCAAACAGG
rnacentral:rRNA from 1 species